AGACUACGAUAGGUAGGGGCCCUGAUAGGGGGAUCCCCCACACUGGUACUGAGACACGGACCAGACUCCUACGGGAGGCAGCAGUGAGGAAUAUUGGACAAUGGGCGGGAGCCUGAUCCAGCCAUGCCGCGUGCAGGAAGACUGCCCUAUGGGUUGUAAACUGCUUUUAUACGGGAAGAAACACCCCCUCGUGAGGGGGCUUGACGGUACCGUAAGAAUAAGGACCGGCUAACUCCGUGCCAGCAGCCGCGGUAAUACGGAGGGUCCGAGCGUUAUCCGGAAUCAUUGGGUUUAAAGGGUCCG
rnacentral:rRNA from 1 species